CUAAAAUAUAAUUGUCUGUUGUUUAAUUACAUGUGUGACGCGUUGCAUGUUUCAGAGUAAAAUACACCUCACUACACAGACGGUCUGUUGGAAGUUACCCUGCAAUGUCUGUUGCUUUUAUUGGUUAAUUUUUGUGGUUUAAUGUUUGAAACCUAAGAAAUAAAUAAAGUCAUAGGCUACUAUAGGCUUAUCAGAAUAAAAUAAUCAUAAUCUCUGUGACUUUAUUAACAAAAGAAUGUUACAAUUAUACUAUGUUGUUGAGUGCAUUGUGUGUCUAACUAAAACUUUUUUUUUACAGAUACAGCAUCAUUUCAUCGUCUAUAUGGUGGGACAACCUGCUAGACAGGUUGAAGACAUCUGUAUCUACCUCAAAGAAGGCAUGGAGAGACACAUUAAAGAAUAUGUGAAUUGUGAAAUUGGUGAGUUGGGGAUUGCACAGACAGUGGAAGUUCUGCAAAACCUACUUGGUGUCACACAUGGGUGUGAAAUUACUUUUUGGACUCAUUUAUGCACUUAAACUGAACUACCAGAAGAACAUCAGGUGCACCUUUGACCUUUCAAAAAAUCCUAAUGGAACUGGACUUGAUACAACCAAGCAAUCACUGAAAGAUGCUUCAGUGAAUACCUGACAGACACGCUGAUGCAUCCCCCUCAAAGUGGGUACAUUUUUGUACAUUUACAAGUGAACUUUUUAACAUUAAAGGAAUAUUGCACUUUCAUUAAACAAAAAUCCUGAUAAUUUACUGUCUGUCAUCGAAAAUGCUUGUCUUUUUUUGUUCAGUCGAGAAGAAAUUGUUUUUUUUUUUUGAGAAAAACAUUCCAGGAUUUUUCUUAAUUUAAUAGACCUUAUUGGACCUCAACAGUUAAGUUUCAAAGCAGCUUUAAAGGGCUCUAAACGAUCCCAAUCGAGGCAUAAGGGUUUUAUCUAUUCAAAAGAUUAUCAUUUUUGGCAAGAAAACUUUUAAAACGCAACAACUUGUCUUGCAUUAUCCAUGUGAUACACAGUGUGACAUUGUGUACUACGUAAUAACGUUGAAGUUUACACAUCACAAAUG